AUUGAACGCUGGCGGAAUGCUUUACACAUGCAAGUCGAACGGUAGAGGGGGCAACCCCUCGAGAGUGGCGAACGGGUGAGUAAUAUAUCGGAACGUGCCCAGUCGUGGGGGAUAACGUAGCGAAAGUUACGCUAAUACCGCAUACGAUCUAAGGAUGAAAGCGGGGGAUCGCAAGACCUCGCGCGAUUGGAGCGACCGAUAUCAGAUUAGGUAGUUGGUGGGGUAAAGGCUCACCAAGCCAACGAUCUGUAGCUGGUCUGAGAGGACGACCAGCCACACUGGAACGGAGACACGGUCCAGACUCCUACGGGAGGCAGCAGUGGGGAAUUUAGGACAAUGGACGCAAGUCUGAUCCAGCCAUUCCGCGUGCAGGAUGAAGGCCCUCGGGUUGUAAACUGCUUUUGUACGGAACGAAAAGGUCUCUCUUAAUACGGGGGACUCAUGACGGUACCGUAAGAAUAAGCACCGGCUAACUACGUGCCAGCCGCCGCCGUAA
rnacentral:rRNA from 1 species